rnacentral:misc_RNA from 1 species
CCGAGUUAUCACAACUCCAAACCCAUGUGAAUCAUACCUUUUGUUGCCUCGGCGGAGGAGAGGGAAGCCCUCGUGGCCUCUGUUCUCGCCGCCGGUGGACACCUAAACUCUUUUGCAUUUAUGUCAAUCUGAGUAGACUAUAUAAAUAAGUCA